rnacentral:rRNA from 1 species
UACGGAGGGUGCAAGCGUUAUCCGGAUUCACUGGGUUUAAAGGGUGCGUAGGCGGACAAGUAAGUCAGUGGUGAAAUCUCUGGGCUUAACUCAGAAACUGCCGUUGAUACUAUUUGUCUUGAAUAUCUUGGAGGUAAGCGGAAUAUGUCAUGUAGCGGUGAAAUGCUUAGAUAUGACAUAGAACACCGAUAGCGAAGGCAGCUUGCUACACAAUCAUUGACAC